CUUGCUUCUUGGCCUUUUGGCUAAGAUCAAGUGUAGUAUCUGUUCUUAUCUUAUCAGCCUGUAGUGAACAUUUAAGCUAUUGCGUUCAUGCUCAUUUCUGCCUCAGAUUAAGCCUCU
rnacentral:snRNA from 1 species